rnacentral:lncRNA from 10 species
UCCUUUUCCUCUACUGUUUCUUCUCCCUGAACUCCUCAGAAGAUACUUUGUUAUCACCACAUAAAUAGAAAGUUCGGUCUUUCUAAGGAAAUGGAAAGAUCAAUCUUACCAAGGAAAGAUGUUUUCAGUGGCACGUUGGAGCCAGCCUCCUACUGACUCAUGAGUGUCAUCUUAAAUUUGCAGGAAUUUUAUAAAAAUUCCAGUUGAUGUUACAUUGUUAUUUUGAAAUCAGCCACAGUGGGCAUAUCACACCACGUAAUUCAGCGAACUGUACAAAUCUUGGAUCUUUUCUACCCUCACCACAAUCAGUUGUUUAUUUACCAGCACAUGGCUGGAUAUUUUCUUCAUGUAUAUGUUCAUGUAUGUCAUAUAUGUAUAUAUAUUUGAAUAUAUUUUCUUCAUAUAUGUAUUCAUAUACAUGCAUCACUUCCAAAAUGAGACAUUCUCUUGAACUGGAUAUAUGUGAUUAGCAUCCAUAAGAAUGAGAGAUUCUGCAUAUGUGAGAGCAGAGCGGGGGCAGUGCUUUCCACCACUUCCUUAUAGAGCAUGUUGGUGGGAAGCUAAGUGGGAGCACCCAGAAGGAAUAGUAACUUCUUACAGAACUUCCUCUCUCUAGCAUUGCCAAAAGGAGGAAAUAAACAUCUAAGUAAUCUGACUAUUCUUUGGUUG